rnacentral:rRNA from 1 species
UACGUAGGGUCCGAGCGUUGUCCGGAAUUAUUGGGCGUAAAGGGCUCGUAGGCGGUUCGUCACGUCGGGAGUGAAAACUCGGAGCUCAACUCCGAGCCUGCUUCCGAUACGGGCAGACUAGAGGUAGGCAGGGGAGACUGGAAUUCCUGGUGUAGCGGUGGAAUGCGCAGAUAUCAGGAGGAACACCGGUGGCGAAGGCGGAUCUCUGGGCCAUUACUGACGCUGAGGAGCGAAAGCGUGGGGAGCGAACAGG